CUACUGGAGGUAGAGCUACUGAUUGGAUGCGGGGGCUUCACCGCCUACCAAAUCCUGACAAACUCCGAAUGCCAGUAGUAUGAUUUACAGCAGUGAGCGACCGGGUGCUAAUGUCCGGUUACGAGAGUGGAACAACACAGACCAGCAACUAAGGUCCCCAAGAGUAUACUAAGUUGAUCUAACGAUGUUUUGCUGCAGAGACAGCUAGGAUGUUAGCUUGGAAGCAGCUAUUCAUUCAAAGAGUGCGUAACAGCUCACUAGUCGAGCGGCAAAGCGUGGAUAAUAAACGGGCAUCAAGUAUACCACCGAAGUUCUGGGCACGAAAGUGCGGUAGGGGAGCAUUCCAUUCCGCGUUGAAGCCGAACCGUGAGGUUUGGUGGAGUGUAUGGAAAAGCAAAUGUAGGCAUGAGUAACGAUAAUGCGGGAGAGUAACCCGCACACCGCAAGACCAAGGUUUCCUGAUCAACGCUAAUCGGAUCAGGGUUAGUCGGGUCCUAAGGGUAAGCCGAACGGUGAUCUCGAUGGAUAAUCGGUUAAUAUUCCGAUACUGACAUAUACCUCGAUGGAGAGACGAAGGAACGUAAGUGCCGCCACCUGACGGAAUAGGUGGUUAAAGGGCUUAGGUAUAGGGGCAGAUUAAGAGUUAGUCCUUGCUGAAACCUGACAGUACAGAGAGCCUACGGGCAAUUUGAUAGUGCACCCAAGUCGACUUCCGAGAAAAUCUUCUAAGUUAUAGUAUAUGUCACCCGUACCGUAAACCGACACAGGUGGUCGAGGAGAGUAUCCUAAGGUGCUCGAGUGAAUCACGGUUAAGGAACUAGGCAAAUUAACCCCGUAACUUCGGGAAAAGGGGUCCCAUCGCGAGGUGGGCGCAGCGAAGAGGUUCAGGCGACUGUUUAUCAAAAACACAGGGCUCUGCAAAUUCGAAAGAAGACGUAUAGGGCCUGACACCUGCCCGGUGCUGGAAGGUUAAGAGGGGAUGUCAUCGCAAGAGAAGCAUUGAAUCGAAGCCCCAGUAAACGGCGGCCGUAACUAUAACGGUCCUAAGGUAGCGAAAUUCCUUGUCGGGUAAGUUCCGACCUGCACGAAUGGUGUAACGAUCUGGACACUGUCUCAACCGUGAGCUCGGUGAAAUUGUAGUCCCGGUGAUGAUGCCGGGUACCCGCAACGGGACGAAAAGACCCCGUGAACCUUUACUAUAGCUUAACGCUGAAUUUGGGUACACAAUGUGUAGGAUAGGCAGGAGACUACGAAGCGGGCACGCCAGUGUUCGUGGAGUCGACGUUGAAAUACUGCCCUUUGUGUACUUGAGUUCUAACCCUCGAGAGGGGACACCGUUUGGUGGGUAGUUUGACUGGGGUGGUCGCCUCCAAAAGAGUAACGGAGGCUUCCCAAGGUACCCUCAGCACGAAUGGUAACCGUGCGUAGAGUGCAAUAGCAUAAGGGUGCUUGACUGUGAGACCAACAAGUCGAUCAGGUGCGAAAGCAGGGUAUAGUGAUCCGGUGGUUCUGCGUGGACUGGCCAUCGCUCAAAGGAUAAAAGGUACUCCGGGGAUAACAGGCUGAUCGCCGCCAAGAGCUCAUAUCGACGCGGCGGUUUGGCACCUCGAUGUCGGCUCGUCACAUCCUGGGGCUGGAGAAGGUCCC
rnacentral:rRNA from 1 species